GUGUCAGCCGCCGCGGUAAUACGUAGGUGGCGAGCGUUAUCCGGAAUUACUGGGCGUAAAGCGCACGCAGGCGGCGAGACAAGUCUGACGUGAAAUCUCUUGGCUUAACCGGGAGGGGUCGUUGGAAACUGUCUGGCUUGAGGCGAUGAGAGGGACAUGGAAUUCCCGGUGUAGUGGUGGAAUGCGUAGAUAUCGGGAGGAACACCAGAGGCGAAAGCGGUGUCCUGGCAUUGGCCUGACGCUCAUGUGCGAAAGCGUGGGGAGCGAACGGGAUUAGAUACCCGUGUAGUCC
rnacentral:rRNA from 1 species